AAGAAGACCACAGCUCCUUCAGCAACUUUGAGACAAAAAUACGUGCCCUAUAGUUGAAGUGUCUGACUUUGAAAUGAUUCCCCUCUUUCCUCGAAUAAGGGGUGAGCA